GAUGAACGCUGGCGGCGUGCCUAAUACAUGCAAGUCGAGCGAACGGACGAGAAGCUUGCUUUUCUGAUGUUAGCGGCGGACGGGUAAGUAACACGUGGAUAACCUACCUAUAAGACUGGGAUAACUUCGGGAAACCGGAGCUAAUACCGGCUAAUAUUUUGCACCGCAUGGUUCAAAAGUGAAAGACGGUCUUGCUGUCACUUAUAGAUUGAUCCGCGCUUCAUUAGCUAGUUGGUAAGGUAACGGCUUACCAAGGCAACGAUGCAUAGCCGACCUGAGAGGGUGAUCGGCCACACUGGAACUGAGACACGGUCCAGACUCCUACGGGAGGCAGCAGUAGGGAAUCUUCCGCAAUGGGCGAAAUCCUGACGGAGCAACGCCGCGUGAGUGAUGAAGGUCUUCGGAUCGUAAAACUCUGUUAUUAGGGAAGAACAUAUGUGUAAGUAACUGUGCACAUCUUGACGGUACCUAAUCAGAAAGCCACGGCUAACUACGUG
rnacentral:rRNA from 1 species